GACGAGCGCUGGCGGCGUGCUUAACACAUGCAAGUCGAACGAUGAAGCCAGAGCUUGCUCCGGUGGAUUAGUGGCGAACGGGUGAGUAACACGUGAGCAAUCUGCCCUUGACUCUGGGAUAACUGCGGGAAACUGUAGCUAAUACUGGAUACGACACCUUGGGGCAUCCCAGGGUGUGGAAAGAAUUUCGGUCAAGGAUGAGCUCGCGGCCUAUCAGCUAGUUGGUGAGGUAAUGGCUCACCAAGGCGACGACGGGUAGCCGGCCUGAGAGGGUGACCGGCCACACUGGAACUGAGAAACGGUCCAGACUCCUACGGGAGGCAGCAGUGGGGAAUAUUGCACAAUGGGCGAAAGCCUGAUGCAGCAACGCCGCGUGAGGGAUGAAGGCCUUCGGGUUGUAAACCUCUUUUAGCAGGAAAGAAGCGAAAGUGACGGUACCUGCAGAAAAAGCACCGGCUAACUACGUGCCAGCCGCCGCCGUAA
rnacentral:rRNA from 1 species